rnacentral:misc_RNA from 1 species
GCGGAUGUUAGUCGUGUAGGAGCAGCAAAUGGCGACCCAAACACAGGGAAGGAUUAGGUAGCCUUGCUAAAGCAACUGCGUUUUCCGUUGUUGUGUGGGAAAACUCGCACGUAAGAAGUUAACGAUGGGGAGGUCUAGGUCAAGAAGCAGGACACCAAAGCGACACAAGAGUAAAAGGUCCCAUAAGAGGCGGUCACGGUCCAGAGAAAGAGAGCGACGUAGGCACCGUGAGCGGGAGAGGUCCAAGGAACGAGCCAAGACCAGUCGCAAGUUAUCCCGAUCAUCAUCAUCAUCCUCAACUAGUGAUGAAGAACCAAGAACUAGAGAGAAAAAGAUUGAUGAAGUUGACAGAUUGGCAGAACUUGAGAGAGUUAGGAGACAAAGGGAAGCAGAACAAAAGAUGGUGGAAGAAGUAGCAGCUAAAAGACUUGAAGAAUUAGUGGCACGUAGAGUGGAAGAGGAGUUAGAGAAAAGACGAGAAGAGAUAGAGGCUGAGGUGUUACGGAGAGUGGAGGAGGCUAAGCGCCUCAUGGAGCAGCAGAUGUUAGAAGAACUUCAGGAAAAGCGUCGCCAACAAGAAGAGGAUCAAAAGAAGCGAGAGGUAAAGCUUUCUUCCCCAUAUGUCACUGGGGAUCUUUUGUGGCUAUAUUCAGCCAUGUCUGCAGUUAUAGUGUUCAUUUCAAGGGUGGGAGAGAGGAGAUGGUGGUGAUGAUGGUGUUUCUGCUGCAGCAAGGAGCACCUGCAAGCCACUUUAGUGAAAAUAUGUGGUCUUACUACCAGACAGAAUCUCAGGAUUUAGAAUUUGUUCCAGAUGAUAAUUGCAGGGUUUUAUCCGCAAAGAAAUGGAGCAUUGUUCCAUCUUCAUGUUAAUAUACUAUUUGUAAUGGAAUGUAGUUCCCAUAACUUGGGAAAUUCGUGUUUUUACACCAGUGAGAGUCACUGGUUAAACAUUUGCUUAAGCAUUCAGUAUGAUUGAAAGUUAUGAAUAUGUAUUUCAAGUUGAGUAGAUUGAUAUAAAUAUUUUAGAGACAUAUUUUGUAAGGUUACUGCUUAAAGCUCUUGAGUGAUUAAUUUAUAGGCAAAAAUAAAUAAUAAAUAUCCAUUUUGCAUGAAAACUAACUCAUACUCUUUCAGCUGAAUUUUCUGUUUUGAAAAGAAAAUGUAUGUUUGGGCCAAUUUAUGAUUCCAGAGAAUGUACAAAUGUCCUAAUCUCUGGCACAUGAUACAGCUUGACAUUUUUUUAGUCCACAUGGUAACAAAGUUGAAUGUCUGGCUGAAUGCAAAUACCUCCUCCUUUUUGUUCUUUGAAUGCUCUAUUAUUUUUCAGCAGAAUCUCUUCUAUCAGUUUCCAGUCUUAUAAUUCUUAUUGUCUGUGUGUUUGUGUUUUUGUGUGAAAGUAUAUGUGUGUGUCUGGAGAGAGAAUGUGUUAAUGAGUGGUUUGUUUUGUCUCUGGAAACAAACAUGGCAUUGGCUUUGAGACACUUUAGUGGACAACCACUUUAAACAGACUAGACAUAAUAAUGGCGACUUGCAACCAAGAAUUGUGCGCUGCGGAUUUUAGGGCAGAGCAGUUCUAGGAGUGGAUUUGGCAUCAUCCAUAUGGAGGAGGAACGUAAACAGCGAGAGGAGUUGGAGCGCAUCAUGGAAGAGAACAAACGAAAAAUGGAACUUGCACAGAUGAAGCUGGCAGAACAGCAGCUGCAGAUGGUUGAGGAACAACGCAAGAUUGAUGAGGAGCGGCAGAAAAUCAAGAGAGCA